GCAGUUUUGAAACGGAAUGGACUCUCAGCUCCAACUGAGAACUAUUUAUGAUUAUAUGGAUACAACUUGCAAGAGGCAGUUUUAGAAACCAAAGUGUGGAAAACAUUACAAAAUGACCCAGCUUGCAGAAAGCGAUUCUUCUGUGCACUGAACUGGGUCACUUAUAUUAGAUACAUCUCAGUCGCAUGCCUGCUUGGGUCUUGCCAGCACCAUGCAUUGUCUCUCUCAGCAGGAAGAAAAACAGAAACAGCCAACUGGGCUUCCAGGAUCCUCUCAGAGCAGAAGAAAAGGCUGUCUCUGGCCCUCCAUUUGCUUUAGGGAACUUCUUGUCUGGACUGUGUCCUGGGAUUUGGAUCACUGAGAAGCAAACUACAAAAUGGGAAAAAAAGAAAAUUGCAGAAACAGUGCAGCUGUCAUAAUACUGUGAACACAGCCAUGAAGAGUGACUCACAGCAUAAGCAAGGUGAACUUCAUCUUUAAUUUCAGUUCUCCCUACAGACUGUUUUCAUCUCUCACCACUAGCUGUGGUGGUCUAGCUGCGGUAUCUCAGUAGAUGGGGUAUCCAGGUCCCAAAACACUUUCUUAGGUUGAAAAAUGAAAGAGAGAGGAAAUGUAAUUUUCCACUGUGUACAGAUACAAAUCCAAGUGUUGGUAAAUUGAAUCGGCACUGCUUCAACAAUAUGCAGUCCUCAGGCUGGGCUCACAGGCACUGUUUAUCCAAUCAGAAACUAUACAAUCUUUAACCACCAUCUUACAUGGUCCUUGAGUGCAUCUCUGAUACUACAGACUGCUUACCCACUGUCAGGUGGUCAUCCUCCGUUACUGCUGAUCCUUACCUGCUGAUCAGAGUAUCCACAUGAAGAAACAAGGAGCUUAUGUUUUAAAAUUGUACCCAGAAUAUCACUCUCCAGAAAUCCAAAUGCAGACUAUUGCCUGACACUUCAUUAUGGGGGAUUUUCUCCCUCUCCAUUCACUACUUGGAAACUCUUCAAUUUGUAGCAGCUGUCUUAGCUGCAUGUAACCUUCAAUGGAAUAAUGAAGACAGUAAUAACCCCUUCCAGUAGAUCUGCUAUUACCUGUCUCUUCCCAGGAUGAUCAAAGGAGGAUCUUCUUUUCUAGUCCUACUACUAUCUUCCUAUGCUGCUGUCACAAACACUGAGAAUGUAACUCAUGUGAAGCAUCAAGUCCUCUCUCCUGCUAGGAGAAGAUUUUGCCCCU